AAAAAAAAAAAAAAAAAAAAAAGAAAAAAGAAAAAAAGAAAAAAAGAAAAAAAAAAGAAAAUAGAAAUAAAAAAGAGAAAAAAAAUGAAAAAAAGAAAAAAAAAAAGAAAAGAAAAAAACAGUAGAUGAAAAAAGAAAAAACAAAAGGAAAAACGAAUAAUGACAAGAGAAGAAAGGUAAAGAGAAAAGAAGAAAAAAGCCAAGUCAAAAAAGAAAAGAAAAAAACAGUAGAUGAAAAAAGAAAAAACAAAAGGAAAAACGAAUAAUGACAAGAGAAGAAAGGUAAAGAGAAAAGAAGAAAAAAGCCAAGUCAAAAAAGAAAAGAAAAAAACAGUAGAUGAAAAAAGAAAAAACAAAAGGAAAAACGAAUAAUGACAAGAGAAGAAAGGUAAAGAGAAAAGAAGAAAAAAGCCAAGUCAAAAAGUAAAGAAUAACUCGAAGGAAGGAGUGGAUGGCAAGAAAUACAGAGAAAGCAGUGCAUAGCACAGCAGAGCAAAGCAAGGCAAAUAGCAGCCAAAGCCACGAGAAUCAAGAAGUCAGUGAAGAGCAGGAAAGGUAAGUUUCCCUUAAAGCAAGGGGGAAUGGUAGUGGAAGGGAGA
ensembl:lncRNA